UACAGAGGUCUCGAGCGUUGUUCGGAUUCAUUGGGCGUAAAGGGCGCGUAGGCGGCGGGGUAAGUCUGGUGUGAAAUCUCGGAGCUCAACUCCGAAAUUGCACUGGAUACUGCUCUGCUAGAGGGCUGGAGAGGAGAUCGGAAUUCACGGUGUAGCGGUGAAAUGCGCAGAUAUCAGGAGGAACACCGGUGGCGAAGGCGGAUCUCUGGGCCAUUACUGACGCUGAGGAGCGAAAGCGUGGGGAGCGAACAGG
rnacentral:rRNA from 1 species